GGGGACGUUCAUGCAGGAACCAAUGGGAUGCUCGAGGGGGGACGUUCAUGCAGGAACCAAUGGGAUGCUCGAGGGGGGACGUUCAUGCAGGAACCAAUGGGAUUCUCGAGGGGGGACGUUCAUGCAGGAACCAAUGGGAUGCUCGAGGGGGGGUCAUGCAGGAACCAAUGGGAUGCUCGAGGGGGGACGUUCAUGCAGGAACCAAUGGGAUGCUCGAGGGGGGGUCAUGCAGGAACCAAUGGGAUGCUCGAGGGGGACGUCCAUGCAGGAACAAUGGGAUGCUCGAGGGGGGACGUUCAUGCAGGAACCAAUGGGAUGCUCGAGGGGGCGUUCAUGCAGGAACCAAUGGGAUCUCGAGGGCGCGUUCAUGCAGGAACCAAUGGGAUGCUCGAGGGGGGUCAUGCAGGAACCAAUGGAUGCUCGAGGGGGGGUCAUGCAGGAACCAAUGGGAUGCUCGAGGGGGGACGUUUGCAGGAACCAAUGGGAUGCUCGAGGGGUGGUCAUGCAGGAACCAAUGGGAUGCUCGAGGGGGGUCAUGCGGAACCAAUGGGACUCGAGGGGGGACGUUCAUGCAGGAACCAAUGGGAUGCUCGAGGGGGGGGGGGGGGUCAUGCAGGAACCCUGAAGUUGGUGGUGCUGCAGUUGGACACUUGUGUAUUUGCUUGCGCUGUACAUAAGUGUAUUAUUAGAGCGUGCCAGUGGACUUCCGGUAAAUAUGCUUUAGUGGGGUUCUCCCGAGUGGCGCAGUGGUCUACGGCACUGCAUUGCAGCGCUAGAGGCGCCACUACAGAUCAAUGAUCCUGGGCUGUGUUGUAGCUGGCCGCGAGACCCAUGAGGCAGCACACAAUUAGCCCAGCGUCGUCUGGGUUAGGGUAGGGUUUGGCCGGGUUGACCUUGUCCUUGUCCCAUCGCGCUCUAGCGAUUCCUGUGGCGGGCCGGGCGCCAGUUGGACAGUGUUUCCUACAACACAUUGGUGCGGCUGGCUUCCGGGUUAAGCGAGCAGUGUGUCAAGAAGCAGUGCGGCUUGGCAUGGUCGUGUUUUGUAGGACACAUUGCCCUCGACCUUCGUCUGUCCCGAGUCCGUAUGGGAGUUGCAGCGAUGAGACAAGACUAACUACCAAUUGGAUAUCACAAAAUUGGGGGGGUCAAAAAUAUAUUAAAUAACUUUUUAUAAAUGUUAUUUAUUAUGAGAUUUUUUAAAAGAUAUGUAAUGAGAAAGUGUUGGGAUCAGGUACAUCUACAUUUAUCCACCCCCAAAAUGUAUAUUUAUGAGGAAUUAUCCCCACCCACAACUUCUCACCUUUCUUUUUUAAGGGGUUGGGAAAAAGCAGAAAUUGGGGUUGAGAGUUACCUGUUAAGAAGAUAAAUUGCUGGAAUGGGUAGGGUUUAUGACUUUGCAGAGGAGACUAGAUCGCUUUUGUCAAGACGGUGACCAUCAUUGGUCAAGACCAGAUCACUUUUGUCAAGACGGUGACCAUCAUUGGUCAAG
rnacentral:lncRNA from 1 species